rnacentral:lncRNA from 1 species
CUGGACACUACCUCUGCGUGGCAUCCAACUCAGCUGGCUCUGACCGGCAAGGCCUAGACCUCAGAGUCCUUGGUGCUCUGGAGAUUGAGCAGGCCCUUCCUAUCCACGCUGGCCGAUACACUUGCACAGCUCGCAAC